rnacentral:ncRNA from 1 species
GGUGCCGCGAGGCUCAAUAGGGAAUCGGGUGCAAAUCCUGAACAGUUCCCGCUGCUGUAAACUCUUCAUGUCGGCCAUCAUGCCACUGAAAACCAAGGUUUUUCGGGAAGGCGGUUAGAUAAUAAGGAGUAAGUCAGAAGACCUGCCGCUUGUCGU